GAAAUGCGAUAAGUAAUGUGAAUUGCAGAAUUCAGUGAAUCAUCGAAUCUUUUAACGCACCUUUCGCUCCUUGGUAUUCCUUGGAGCAUGCCUUUUUGAGUAUCAUGAAAUCUUCAAAGUAAAUCUUUUGUUAACUCAAUUGGUUUCUACUUUGGUAUUGGAGGUCUUUGCAGCUUCACACCUGCUCCUCUUUGUUCAUUAGCUGGAUCUCAGUGUUAUGCUUGGUUCCACUCGGCGUGAUAAGUUAUCUAUCGCUGAGGACACUGUAAAAGGUGGCCAAGGUAAAUGCAGAUGAACCGCUUCUAAUAGUCCAUUGACUUGGACAAUACUUUUAUGAUCUGAUCUCAAAUCAGGUAGGACUACCCGCUGAACUUAAGC
rnacentral:misc_RNA from 1 species